rnacentral:lncRNA from 1 species
UGUCGUGGUGUGGGAGGUGUGAGGCUCGACAGGCAGUGGAAGAGGUAUGUAGAGUUUUAGAUUUGGGAAUGAGAUAAGGGAUAUCUUGAUGGGAAGAAAGGGUAGAUGUGAAUGAAAGGAGCAUCGGAGUAGAUCCUAUCUUGAUGAAUGUGUUCAUGGAUGAUAAGGGAGUUAGAUGGUAGGAUACCCAAAAACCUUGGGUCAUCCGAUCCAUGGAUUUAAUAUAGUAUUGUCAUUUGUAGUAGGUCAUUGUUUAAUUCAUUUGUGAUGGGUCGUUGCUUACUUUAUUCUAUUGUGAUGGGUUUCAUAUUUUAUUAUAGGUUAUUGUUAUUAUUUUAGCAUGUCAUUGUUUCAUUCUACUGCCAUUUAUUGAUUUAUCUUAUCGUGAUGAAUAUAAUCAAGGGUGAUAAUGUAUUUAAAUGGUAGGAUCAUGAAGUUGCCUAUUGUUGGCUCACUAUGGGGAAAAUUUGGAUUUAAUUGGGUUUAAAUUGAUAAUGCUAUCGUCAUCAUGUUUCUGGUCAUAUUUGGCCUAUAGGUGUUGCUGCUUAUGUUAUGGUUGAGUCUCAUGAUUUUUUAUAUUUUUGUUACUGUCAAGUUCUAUUGAAAAUUGGGUUAAAGUGGGUUUAAAUUGAUAAUGCUAUCGUCACCAUGUUGCUGCCCAUAUUUGGCCUAUAGGUGUUGCUGCUUAUGUUAUGGUUGGGUCUCAUGAUUUUCUAUAUUUUUGUACUGUCGGGUUCUAUUGAAAAUUGGGUUAAAGCGGGUUUAAAGUGAUAAUGCCAUCUUCACUUGUUGCUGUCUAUAUUUUGCCUAUAUGUGUUGCGGUUUAUAUUAUGGGUGAGUCUCAUGAUUUGCUCUAUUUUUGUUACUGUGGAGUUCUAUUGAUGACUAGGUUAAUGGGGUUUAAGGUGACAUAGGAUUGCAUGCUAGAUUGGCAUGUAAACUGUUUCGGUUAAAUAUUCCACUGCUGUCCUGUUUUGUGAUCGUCGAUGACAUGGCAGAUUAUUGAUUUACCCCUAUCUUUAGGUGUUCUACAUACUAUUGGGGCAUGUUGGAUUUGCAUAUAAGUCAUUUAUCAUUGCGGCUGAUUCGAUUAAUUUAUUUCUGAUUAAAUAAGGAACAUGUUAUAGAAGUGAAUGUUUGGUUAGAAGUUAAGAUGCUCACCAUGUGGUCUGUUUUGUUAGUAUUUAUGUUGUUGUUUUGUUUUCUUUAUUACGAAAUGCUAUGGGGGUGCAUGUUUUGGGCAGCAUAUAGGAUGUUUUAGGUGAUGUUUCUAUUAUUAGUUGCUGAUUUAAAUGAUAAUAAGAUUGGGGGAAAUUCACAUGAAUGACAUGAGGAUAAGAAUAGUAAUGCAUGUAUGAAUGGGUCAAUGAACGAACGAAUGAAAGCAUGAAUGAGAUAUGACUGGGGUGUUAUGACGCCUAACCAAUGGUGAAUGACGAAUGACUAAUGAUGACCCAUUAGGGGUCAUGAAUGACAAAUGAUUGGUACUAUUAGACUAAAUGUUUACAUAUGCAUGCAUGUAUUAUGUUAAUUGACAUUGUUAAAAAUUGUUGGGGUCUAUGCUUUACAUGCUGAGUGAUGUAGUCACUCACGGAUACAUGACAUGUUACAGGGAAUGGAGGCAACCGUGCUUAACUGGAGUGGUAGGAGACCAAGGACUUGUCGCGGUGACGAGGCACGUCGACGUAGGGUGAUAGCGAUGUAGUUGUUGUUUUUGUCUUUGGUUGUAAUAAGUACUGUGUUAGGUUUCCCCAAUACUAAGUGUUUUUAGUACUCCAUGAUGUGAAACUUUUGAGGCGUUAUAUGGCCGACCUUGCCGAUCCCCGUUAUGUUGGUCCGAGGUGGGGGAUCGCCAAAUGUUGGGGCUGGAGAUGCUCCAAAAGUCAUCGGAGAAUAUUGGCGAGAUACGGAAGAGGCUUUUUGCAGCACAGAGUCGACAAAAGAGUUACGCCGACAAGAGAAGAAAGGAAUUAAAAUUUUGGGAGACCAUGUAUUUCUAAAAGUUAUCGCAACCAAAGGAGCAUCUCGAUUCGGGCUACGGGGGAAACUAAAACCUAGAUACAUCGGUCCAUUCGAGAUAUUGGACUGUAUUGGAAAUGCAGCUUACAAAGUGGCGUUACCACCACAACUGAGUCGAAUGCACAAUGUUUUUCACGUAUCAAUGUUGCGACGGUAUAUUGCAGAACCAAGCCAUGUAAUACGACAUGAAGUUUUUGAAGGUAUCGAAAACUUAUGCAUAGAACCACGACCAACACGGAUCAUAGGUAGGAAGGAACAUUGUAUCAGAAACAAAAUUUGUAGAAGUGUCAAGGCGCAGUGGGGAGAUUACCCGAGUGAGGAGACAACAUGGGAGUCAGAAGACAAGAUGAUGGCCACAUUUCCGAAACUUUUUGUAAGUAAAUGUUUAAUAAUGAGUAUGAUGAUGAUCGGAAGUAGAAGUUUAAUUUUGGGGACCAAAAUGCUAAUUAAGGGGGAAGAUUGUAAUAACCGGUUAUUUAUGUAACCGGUUAUUAAUUGGAUAUAACCCGAUUAAGGGUAAAACUGUAAAUGACUAGGAUUAUAAAAAUAUAAAUUAAAAUGAUAGAAAGGAAGAGGUGAAACAGAAAUGAUUGAAACAGAAAUUAAAAGGGGAAAACAAAAGGAGAAGGAGGGCGGCUAGGAGAAAGGUAGGAUGGGGCAUCGUGGCUGGGAUCUGUAAGGGGGCACCGGUGUCGUGGUGUGGGAGGUGUGAGGCUCGACAGGCAGCGGAAGAGGUAUGUAGAGUUUUAGAGUUGGGAGUUGCUGUGAAAUAUUGUGACGAGUUGUCACUUAAGCUGAAGGAGCGGCUCGAUGCUCAAGAUUAGGUCUUCUGAGUGUCUUUUGUUUGUGUUUUGGAUGUUGUCUUUUGAUGUUAUAUUUUGUGAAGACUUGGUAUGAAGGGAUGUAUUUUGUUGUAAACAUGUUGAUAUUUGUUUAGAGUUAAUUCAUGGUGUUUUUAUUUUCUGAAACUUUAUUUCUAUGCGGGUUGUACCAAGAUCUUUCCUAGUAUGCUGUUUUGAUCUUAGGAUUAUUCGUUAAAGUAGUGUGUUUGUUGGAAUUUUUUGGUUGGAAAAUAUAAUUUUAUGAAAAAAAGGUUCUGAGACCUCGAGAAUUUUGCUAAGAAAGAAAUGGUUUUCUCGAUUUUUACUGGAUUUUUUUUUUUGCACUUGUUGCCAAAAUUUGUUUUGGUCUUUUUGCACUUGUUGCCAAAACUUGUUUUGGUCUUUUCAUUUGCCAAAAAGAAUGUUUUAUUUUUGGUCUUUGUCGCCAAAAGAUUUUUUGCAUUUGUUGCUAGAGCUUGCUUUGGUCUUUUCAUUUGUCAAAAGGAAUGUUUCUUUUUGGUUUUUGUUGUCAAAAGAUUUUUUGGUCUUGGUUUUUUGUGCCGAGAUUUGUUUUCUUGGUUUGAUUUGUUGGGAUUUGAUUGUAUAGAAAGGGUCUGAGUAAAAAAAAAAAUCGUAUCUUUGUUUCUUGAAUGAUCUUAUUCUAUGUUGAAAGAAAAAUAUGGCUUUUAUUCCUUAGGAUAAUAUUUACAUAUUUUUACAAUAUUUACAAGAACUUUGCUGCUUCUUGCUGAUUACUGGUAGUACUUUUUCAGAUUGUUUGCGUGCCAAACUCUGGGUAUUUCUUGUCCAUUUUCCUUUAUUAGUUUUGUUGAAGGUCGUACUAUCAAACAUUAUUUCAUUCCUCCUCUCUUAAUUACAUCGCGUCUGAUGGCUUUUAUAGCCUCUCAAAUAUACCUUGAGGUUACACGUAUGAUUACAAGUGUCACAACGAUAUCAUGCAGUGUUACACGUAGAGUACAACUUGCUGUUUUCCGAUUGGUUGAGGAGGGUUUUUAAUCCCCUACAAUGAGGGUGUAACAAGUUUAAAUGUUCCUGCUUUCCAUUCCUCUUUGAUUAUGUAAGGGUCUUCCUAGUUUUGAGAUAACUUGCUUUUGUUUUGCUUUGCUAGAGUUAGACGAGCGUUUCUGAGAACCAGGUCUCCUAGUGAUAAGUUGGCGUUUCUUAGCCUUUUGUUAUACAUUCUUUCAAUUUUUCUUUUAUAUGCAGCUUCAAAGAUUUCUGCUUGUUCUCUGAUGUCAACGAUGAGGUCUAUAUUUUCUGCUAAUUUUUCUUCAUUAGUUUCUUCGUUGUAACCGAUUAUUCUUGCGGAUGGCCAGACUAAUUCGCAUGGGCCGACUGUUUCUAGGCCAAAAGCUAAACUGAAAGGGGUGUAUCCGUUUGCUGUUUUUAUGGUUGUUCUAUAUGCCCAAAGUACCUCAGGUAUUAAGUCUACCCAUUCUUUGGGAUUGACGUUGAUUUUUCUUUUUAGAAUUUUAAUCAAAUUUUUAUUCGUUGCUUCGACCGGACCGUUAGUUUGUGAGUGAUAUACUGAGCUGAAACUUAGUUUAAUUUCAUUGUCUUUGCAGAACUUUUUUAAUCCUCCGCUUGCGAACUGUGUUCCGUUAUCGGUGAUAAUUUGUAACGGUACUCCGAAUACUAUAUUUCUAAAUAUGAAUUUUACUGCACUUUCCUGUGUGAUUGACUUUACUGGUUCUACUUUUGCCCACUUUGUGAAAUAGUCUAUAUCUACAAAUAAAAAUUUUUUGCCAUAGGAUGCUACUGGGAAAGGUCCUACGAUAUCGACUCCUCAUCUGGCGAAGAGUACCGGGGUUGUGAUGCUAGUUAGUUCAGUGCAUGAUAUUUUUGAGAUAUUAGCGUGUAGUUGACAUUCUCUGCAAUUUUUGGCUAUCUCCUUUGUAUCCCAUUCCAUUUGUGGCCAAAAAUAUCCUUGUAUUUGAACUUGUAACCACAAUUUCCUACCACCUUGGUGGGCUCCAUUUGCUCCAUUGUGAAUGCUUGAUGUAAUUUCUUUACCUUUUUCGCGUGAGACACAUAUUUUGUAUG